rnacentral:rRNA from 1 species
CAGCAGCCACGGUAAUACAGAGGGUGCGAGCGUUAAUCGGAUUUACUGGGCGUAAAGCGUGCGUAGGCGGCUAAUUGAGUCGGAUGUGAAAUCCCCGAGCUUAACUUGGGAAUUGCAUUCGAUACUGGUUAGCUAGAGUGUGGGAGAGGACGGUAGAAUUCCAGGUGUAGCGGUGAAAUGCGUAGAGAUCUGGAGGAAUACCGAUGGCGAAGGCAGCCAUCUGGCCUAACACUGACGCUGAGGUACGAAAGCAUGGGGAGCAAACAGGAUUAGAUACCCCAGUAGUCCCUGUCUCUUAUAC